AGCGAACGCUGGCGGCAGGCCUAACACAUGCCAGUCGAACGAACUCUUCGGAGUUAGUGGCGGACGGGUGAGUAACACGUGGGAACGUGCCUUUUGGUUCGGAAUAACUCAGGGAAACUUGUGCUAAUACCGAAUGUGCCCUUCGGGGGAAAGAUUUAUCGCCAUUAGAGCGGCCCGCGUCUGAUUAGCUAGUUGGUGAGGUAACGGCUCACCAAGGCGACGAUCAGUAGCUGGUCUGAGAGGAUGACCAGCCACACUGGGACUGAGACACGGCCCAGACUCCUACGGGAGGCAGCAGUGGGGAAUCUUGCGCAAUGGGCGAAAGCCUGACGCAGCCAUGCCGGGUGAAUGAUGAAGGUCUUAGGAUUGUAAAAUUCUUUCACCGGGGACGAUAAUGACGGUACCCGGAGAAGAAGCCCCGGCUAACUUCGUG
rnacentral:rRNA from 1 species